UACAGAGGGGCAAGCGUUGUUCGGAAUUAUUGGGCGUAAAGGGCGCGUAGGCGGUGCGGUAAGUCACUUGUGAAAUCUCUGGGCUCAACUCAGAGUCUGCAAGACGAAACUGCCGUGCUUGAGUAUGGGAGAGGUGAUGUGGAAUUCCCGGUGUAAGCGGUGAAAUGCGUAGAUAUCGGGAGGAACACCUGUGGCGAAAGCGGCAUACUGGACCAUAACUGACGCUGAGGCGCGAAAGGCUAGGGGAGCAAACAAGG
rnacentral:rRNA from 1 species